rnacentral:lncRNA from 1 species
AGAACUCAACUAGGAGAUGAAGAAAAACCCUCAGAAACCUCAAGGCCAAGAGGACGUGGUGGAGGCCAACUUGGGGGUUGCAGGACAUCACCCACCUACCCACGAGAUGAUCUAUUAAUAGCUCAGUGGUUCUCACACCUGGGCAGGCAUUGGCAUUACCUGAAGCUGAGAUGAAACCCAAAUGGCUGAGUCCCGCACCCACAGUGUCUGAUUCAGCGAGUCUGGGGCGGGGCCUGACUGAAUUUCCUGCAAUACAGAAAAAUCUCUCUGGCUGCUGCCAGGAGGCUGCUGUGUAGGAGACUGAGCAUGGAAGCCCCAGCCCAGCCCUGCCCAGUUAGGAAGCAACUAUUGUAUUCAGCAAACCCUGCUGGCUCUAACGAGAAGUAUCAUCCCGAGUGCAUCACCAUCACUUCUCACCUCCAUGGCCUCUCA